rnacentral:lncRNA from 10 species
CAAGUCAUAUAACUCAGCACACAGUAAGUAUCCAGUAAGUAUAUGCUGAAUGGAUAAAUCAAAGGAAGCAUGAUAGAGCAGCAUGAUCCUUUUCCAUUGAAAAUGUAUGUAGGUAUCUAGAAUUGGGACUUGGGCCCACAUCGAGUUCAGAUUACAAUUUCUAUCUUUCUUCAUUAGGAUAAUUUAUAUCUCUCAUGCCUCAUUCUGGUGAUAACGAUCCUUUGUCUAUCACAAGUCCUGUUGCUGGGAAGAUUUAAGAGGAUGAGGAGUUGCUUAUGGUAGAAGCCCAGGGUCAUCAUUUACCCCUUGUCUUAACAUAAGAUUCUCCCUUAAGAUGACCUUGUAUUAGGAUGAUCUAUCCUUCCCUGCUGCUGAGGGGAGCUCCCCAACAUGGGCUAGCAUAGCAAUGACUCUGUAAAACAUGAACUUUCACCUCAAAGAUAUUAUGUGAUGGCAAAUUGACUCAGUGGUGGCAAAGGAUGGGAAAGGCAGCUGCCUAUUCUCGAGAUUAAUUGUUUUCAUGUAGCCUUGUCUCAGAAAAACAGUGCAGUGUGGACACCUUUCAUUUGCUGAAACCCCAAAGGACCUCAACCACAUUGAUACUGUCCACUUCUAAUCACCUGGUAAACUCCUUUAGCAGAGCUAAGCCACCCACAACAUUUCUAUUUAGCUCUUACUGUAUUACAUGUAAUAAUUUUUUUUUUUUUUUUUUGAGACGGAAUCUCUCUGUCGCCCAGCCUGGAGUGCAGUGGCACGAUCUUGGCUCACUGCAACCUCCGCCUCCUGGGUUCAAGCGAUUCUUCCGCCUCAGCCUCCCGAGCAGCUGGGACCGCAGGUGCAUGCUCCCAUGCCUGGCUAAUUUUUUGUAGUUUUAGUAGAGACGAGGUUUCACCGUGUUAGCCAGGAUGGUCUUGAUCUCCUGACCUCGUGAUCUGCCCACCUCGGCCUCCCAAAGUGCUGGGAUUAUAGGCGUGAGCCACCGCACCCGGCCAAUAACAUUUUUUUAUCACAUAGAUUUCUUCCCUAGGCUUGAGGCCAGGGGACAUGGCUUAUUUCUUUUCUUUUAAAUACCACUAUGGUGAGCCCAGGGCCUACCACAGUGAGGGUAUUUAACAUAUGUUUAUUGAAUGGGGAUGAAUGAGGGAGUGAAUAAAUAAAUAAGUCCCUGCCCUGACUAUAACAUCUUAAAGUAAUUUAAAACGUUCUUACCAGGAACCAGAUUCAGCUUCAUAGAUGGGCUCCAGACUGAAUUAUUAGCAGCAUUGGUAAAGUGACAACACACAUCAACAGUUUUUGAACACCAGGAAACUGAGCUUGCAUUGAAAUUGUGUUUGUAGCACACUUGUUUUUUGUUAACUUCUUUUGCUGAAGACAGAAUUAUUGAAAGAAUUAAGUCACAACAUGAGUCUCUAAUGCACAAAUUGUGUUAAGAUAACCUAAUAUGAAUAAACCUGUCCAAGCUUUCCCGAGGAAUGUGCCACAUUCAUUUUUAACAGGUUUUACCUCUGGGUUUUGAAGUAUGUAAGCCCACAUUUGCAUGUGUGCUAGUCAAAACUUCUCCUCUACCAUUCAUGACUCCAAGUCACACAUUUUUGACAUUCAGAAUGCCUUUUCAGCAUUCCACAAAUCCUUCUCCCUAUCUAAAUUUCAUCAUGCUCUGAGCAUUUAUCCUAUUCUGCCUUUACCAUAUUGGUAUAUAGUCACCUAUUCAUGAGUUUGUCUUCUCUACUAGACCAUACGCUCCUGGAGAGAAAGUACCUUGUCUUAUUUAUCUUUCCAUCUCCUGGUGCUCAGCUCAGUAUCUGGUGCAUAGAAAGCACUGAAUGUAUGCAUAUUAAACACAGAAUGUUGAAAUGCUGCAUAUGUCAAAAUCCAGAUUGAUUAUAUCCCUCUGCCAUGCAGCCUUCUUUAAAGACUACAGUGUUUAUUGAGUCCCCACUUUUCUGAACUUCUACUGUUUUUUUAGUCUGUAUUAUUCUAUUUGGAUAUUUUAUAUUAUAUGCAUUGCCUUUCAGGGCAUGGGCCCUUCUAGAUAUUAAAAUAUGUGCCCCACUUCUUUUUUCUCCCUUUCAUUGCCUACUAUGGUGUCUUGCGUUGAGUAAGCCCUCCAGAAUAGUUAUUGAAAAAAUGAAUGAGCUUGUAAAUCCCUCAUGAAGUUGUCUGUGUUUUGAGAUUUUUGGGUUGUGAGAUCAUGCUGGUUGACCUUAAUCUCUGGGAAUCCCUAGGGAUCUGGAUUAAGGGCACCAUCUACCAGAGAGACUUUGAUUUUUUUUUCUUUUUUUGCUGGUUGACAUAGGGUGCUACCAAUGGACAACUUUAAACUUAGGUUGGCACUCCUGAACCACAAAGGAAAUAUAAAUUCAAAGCCCAAACCUGAGUGAUGGCAGGACAACUAUAUUUUUUGGGGGAAACCUUUUGUCCACCCAGAGAUGAGGCCAAGGUCUCAACUCUGGCAGAUGAAUUUUGUUUUCCUAGCUUAGUCUCUUACUGAAUGUGCCACUUUUUGAAGGUCUUAACAUUGUGUCAAUGGGGUGUGAGUGACCCAUUGUGU